rnacentral:rRNA from 1 species
GACAGAGGGGGCAAGCGUUGCUCGGAAUCACUGGGCGUAAAGGGCGCGUAGGCGGGAUGGCAAGUCGGUUGUGAAAGCCUCCGGCCCAACCGGAGAACGGCGACCGAUACUGCCAUUCUCGAGGGUAGUAGAGGAGACUGGAAUUCCCGGUGUAGCGGUGAAAUGUGUAGAGAUCGGGAGGAACACCGGUGGCGAAGGCGGGUCUCUGGGCUACUCCUGACGCUGAGGCGCGAAAGCGUGGGGAGCAAAC